GACGAACGCUGGCGGCGUGCUUAACACAUGCAAGUCGAACGGAAAGGCCCUGCUUUUUUGGGGUUCUCGAGUGCCGAACGCGUGAGUAACACGUGAGUAACCUGCCCUUGAUUUUGGGAUAACUUCAGGAAACGGGGGCUAAUCCCGUAUAGGAGCUCCUGCUGCGUGGUGGGCGUUGGAAAGUCUCGGCGGGUGGGGAUGGACGCGCGGCUUAUCAGCUUGUUGGUGGGGUAGUGGCUUACCCAGGCUUUGACGGGUAGCCGGCAUGGGAGGGUGACCGGCCACAUUGGGCCUGAGAGAGGGACCAGACGCCUACGGGAGGCAGCAGUGGGGAAUAUUGCACAAUGGGCGGGAGCCUGAGGAAGAAACGCCGGGGUCGGGAUGACGGCCUGCGGGGUGUAAACCGCUUUCGGCUGUGACGAAGCGUGAGUGACGGUAACGAGUAAAGAAGCACCGGCUAACUACGUG
rnacentral:rRNA from 1 species